GUGCCUAACGGGCGCGGGUACACUGGACAAAGGGAUGAUUCACGUUCCGGUGGGACAGAAUGGGAUGGUGUGAGAGUUCAUCGUGUUGAUUGGAACAGCGGUGCACAGUUUAAAACUUCUGAAUUGUUUUUUUCUGGAAUUUUCCAUUUGAUAUUUUCUGACCGCAGUUGACCUCAGGAUUCAAAAAUUUCCUCUAUGGAGCGUGGGCUCUGAGACUUGGAAGAGGAGAUUCAGAUGCUGAAAUCGAACGGGGCUUUGAGUACUGAAGAACGAGAGGAAGAAAUGAGGCAAAUGGAGGUCUAUCGGAGCCAUUCUAAAUUUAUGAAAAACAAGGUCAUGAUUGGUCAGGUGAAGCAGGAGCUGUCCAGAAAGGACACAGAACUACUAGCCCUACAGACAAAGCUAGAAACACUCACCAACCAGUUCUCAGACAGCAAGCAGCACAUUGAAGUGCUGAAGGAGUCCUUGACUGCUAAGGAGCCUCGAGGGCUGCCAUCCUGCAGAACGAGGUAAAAGGAGUUGUGGGAUUUGCACGGAGCCCAUU